UACGGGGGGUGCAAGCGUUGUUCGGAAUCAUUGGGCGUAAAGAGCGUGUAGGCGGCUGAGCAAGUCAGAUGUGAAAUCCCUGGGCUUAACCCAGGAAGUGCAUUUGAAACUGUUCAGCUUGAGUAAGGAAGAGGGAAGUGGAAUUCCUGGUGUAGAGGUGAAAUUCGUAGAUAUCAGGAGGAACACCGGUGGCGAAGGCGACUUCCUGGUCCUAUACUGACGCUGAGACGCGAGAGCGUGGGGAGCAAAC
rnacentral:rRNA from 1 species